AUACAUAUAUAUAUAUUCAUAUAUAUAUACAUAUAUAUAUAUUCAUAUAUAUAUACAUAUAUAUAUUCAUAUAUAUAUACACACAUAUAUAUAUAUAUAUAUAUAUAUAUA
rnacentral:miRNA from 1 species